rnacentral:lncRNA from 1 species
CGUAACCCAUGCAUCACAUACAAUGCGAAAAAAGUAUAGACAAUAAGCAAUAAGGGUUCGGUCCUCGGAACAUGAGGACUCACCGAUCUUCAAAUCUACUAAUGUGAUCACUACUCACGGGGAUAUGGAAUAGGAGCAUCAGACCCUACAUUAGUGAAACAAUGUCGGCAAGAGUAUGUGUUAGUACAAAAAAUGUACCAAGCAUGAUAGCAAUGCAUAAGAGUUAUAAAAUCAUGCUAAAAAGGACUUUACAUGACAUGCAAUGACCAAGCUAAAUCAUGAGAUAAAAGGGUUAGAAAACAUAAAUCAUAAACAUGGUCAAUGCAAGCUAACUUCUUUAAAACACUCGUGAGAUACUUCUGGAAGUAGCCUUAGUUCAUUAUUGUGGGAAAUUUACCUUUAACCGACAUAGAGACCAUGUGAGCUAUAACAUGGGAUUUGGUGUCUACCCCACACCUAAAAGGGGUGUCCUACUUGCCAAGGUAAGGACAUGAAUUUCUAGCUUACGUGGAUCCACUAGCUAAUGUCUAUCUAAGACAAUCAUCCUAUGGGGCACAUAGGUAUGCGAUAAGGAGAUUGCUACUAGAAACCCGGCCUCAAGCUACUGGAGACAGUGGCGGGUCCAGAAAUUUUGUAUCAUGGGUGCUCAACUAUUUUUAGUUCGAAAAUUGCUACAUAUAAUGGUUGCUCAAUUAAUAAAUUUCAUUGAAUUACUAAAUUUUGUACAUAAAUAAUAAUGUUGUCACAAAAGGCAGUGGGUGCUUAAGCACCCAGAAGUCACAACAUAGGUCCGCCACUGACGGGAGAGCUUCCAAAUCAAUAUCCUCUCGGUGCUAAGCGUAAAUCCCUCGGAAUAAUCAUUAAUCUUAACUUAUCUUAUCAUUAAGAGGCAUGGGUAAUCGCCUCUUGCCUUAUCAUCCAUGGAAGGCACAUCAAGUACCCAAUCCAAGUUAAAUCUUGAUUCAAAGUUUUGUUGAGAAAACCUUUCAAUCCUAAGAAUCCUUAUGUGAGAAAACCUUUCACAUUCAUGUAUUGAGUAAUAUGUGAGAAAAUCUUUCACAAUAACAACAAAGUCUAGAAAUCAUGGUUCAUGCAUGACUUCAUGGGGAAUUCAAAUUAAAACAUGCAAUUUCUUCAAUUCUUGCAUAAGAAGACAUAAAACAAUCAACUAGAUCGUAUUUGAAAAGAACACGUGAGAUUGAGUAACAACCCUAACUUCAAUUGGAGAUUAUAACUUGCAAAAUUGGAGAAUUUAGAAAUCCUAUGGAGGAAAGGACUCCAUAGGUGAAUACCAUCAUACCUUGAUGCCAAAAGCUUGCAAUCAAUGGUGAAUUUGGAGACUUGAUAUUGAAACUCUAGCCUUCUUCUUAGAGAGAGAAAUAUUUGGGAGGAUAAACUUG